GCCUGGGUAGCUCAGCUGGUAAAGCAUCAGACUUUUAAUCUGAGGGUCGAGGUAAGUCCCUGUCUAGGCA
rnacentral:tRNA from 1 species